CCUACGGGGGGCUGCAGUGGGGAAUAUUGGACAAUGGGCGAAAGCCUGAUCCAGCCAUGCCGCGUGUGUGAAGAAGGCCUUCGGGUUGUAAAGCACUUUCAGUGGGGAAGAAAGCCUUGGGGCUAAUACCCUCGAGGAAGGACAUCACCCACAGAAGAAGCACCGGCUAACUCCGUGCCAGCAGCCGCGGUAAUACGGAGGGUGCGAGCGUUAAUCGGAAUUACUGGGCGUAAAGCGCGCGUAGGCGGUCUGAUAAGCCGGUUGUGAAAGCCCCGGGCUCAACCUGGGAACGGCAUCCGGAACUGUCAGGCUAGAGUGCAGGAGAGGAAGGUAGAAUUCCCGGUGUAGCGGUGAAAUGCGUAGAGAUCGGGAGGAAUACCAGUGGCGAAGGCGGCCUUCUGGACUGACACUGACGCUGAGGUGCGAAAGCGUGGGUAGCAAACAGGAUUAGAUACCCGUUGUAGUC
rnacentral:rRNA from 1 species